rnacentral:rRNA from 1 species
CCUGUUUAACAAAAACAUGUCUUUUNGAGUUAUUUUUAAAGUCUGACCUGCCCACUGAAGUUAUUWAAAUGGCCGCAGUAUUUUAACUGUGCAAAGGUAGCAUAAUCAUUAGUCUUUUAAUUGAAGGCUGGUAUGAACGGUUGGACGAGGUAUAAGCUGUUUCAUAUAAAUUUAUAAUAGAAUUUUAUGUUUUAGUUAAAAAGCUAAAAUAUAAUUAAAAGACGAGAAGACCCUAUAAAUCUUUAUACUUUAUGUUUUUUAAAUUUUUUAGAUUAUAUUUUAUUUUUAAAAUUUGAAGUAUUUUGUGGGGGUGAUGUUAAAAUUUAAUGAACUUUUAAUUAUUUAAAAUCAUUAAUUUAUGAUUUAUUGAUCCAUUAAUAGUGAUUAUAAGAUUAAGUUACUUUAGGGAUAACAGCGUAAUUUUUUUGGAGAGUUCAUAUCGAUAAAAAAGGUUGCGACCUCGAUGUUGGAUUAAGAUAUAUUUUUAGGUGUAGCUGCUUAAAU